rnacentral:rRNA from 1 species
UACGUAGGGGGCAAGCGUUAUCCGGAUUUACUGGGUGUAAAGGGAGCGUAGACGGCAUGGCAAGUCAGAAGUGAAAGCCCGGGGCUCAACUCCGGGACUGCUUUUGAAACUGUAUGGCUAGAUUGCAGGAGAGGCAAGUGGAAUUCCUAGUGUAGCGGUGAAAUGCGUAGAUAUAAGGAAGAACACCAGUGGCGAAGGCGGAUUACUGGACGAUAACUGACGGUGAGGCGCGAAAGCGUGGGGAGCAAACAGG